CCUCUCAGCAACCCGCACAGGGCGCACCCGGACGCUCUACCGCUCCCGCCGCAGUCGCCGGGCCAUGGGCCUCGAGCCCGCCCCGAACCCCCGCGAGCCCGCCUUGUCUGCGGCGUGACUGGAGGCCCAGUCUGGAGACGCCUGGAGGCCCGGCCAUCCAUCCCUUCCCCAACCGCUGUCUUUGUCCCGGAGACCGCCAGUGUCCUCCGUCCCACCCGGAACAGCCUAUUGCCCCGCCCGCUUGGGAAGCACUCGCGCCCAAAUCCCGCCGACUAACUUCUGGGGCCGCCUCUCUGUCCACUCCGAUCACCUCCACGCCUCGGCACCGCCCCCUCGCAGGGUUCUAGCAAGUGACCUCACCCUUGUGUGCACACGCUCCCGGGUCUCUGCUCCCUACACUGACUCCGGCACCAAAGUGAUCCUCCCUCAUCUCUUCCCGCAGCUCACACCCCUUUGUCUUUCCCUAACCCUCCUCUCCCCACAACCCAAACCGGGUCACACAUUGGCGGCAGGUGGGCUGGGAUUCGACCAUAGAUGGGUUUUGUUUCACUUCUGGUUCAAAAACCUAUUGACUUGGGUGAUGUCUUGCACACAG
rnacentral:lncRNA from 1 species